AAGGUGCUUCAUAACUCUUUUUCUUUUUACCUCCAGUCUAGAUUUCAUCUAUUAAAAUUUAAAACUACGUCAUCUUCAAACAUUAGGUAUCAACAGAAGUUAAGAAUGUUAGGUCACAAUUUCCAUGAUUUAUCAGCCAAAUUCAAAAAGCAAAACUCACAUCAAUCAAACCUUAUUAUCUAUCUAAUUUGUUGCAGCUGGAUCAUUUAUAGCUAGUCCCAAGCCUAAAUUAAAGGGGAAAGGAUGACAAUUGGCAUAAACUUUUGUCCCAUCUAUGACAUGGAUCCAAGUAGGUUCUAAGCAAAAGUAAAGUAGAAUGAAUCAAAAUCAAAUCCAAGCUUUUCAUGCCACCACCAAAAGCAUGUCAUUAUUCUGAAAACAAUCUACACAAAAGAAAAAGAUAAAGAAAAUAAUGUAUUAAAUAUUUUACUUAUAUUGUGCAGAACUAGAACCUGUAAAAGCAUCGUGAGCUAUAAUGAGCACUUAGCAAGUUUAAUCAAGUUAGCAAGUUUAAUCAAGUUGGAU
rnacentral:misc_RNA from 1 species